rnacentral:rRNA from 1 species
AUUGAACGCUGGCGGCAGGCCUAACACAUGCAAGUCGAGCGGAUGAGGGUAGCUUGCUACCUGAUUCAGCGGCGGACGGGUGAGUAAUGCCUAGGAAUCUGCCCGAUAGUGGGGGACAACGUUUCGAAAGGAACGCUAAUACCGCAUACGUCCUACGGGAGAAAGGGGGGGAUCUUCGGACCUCACGCUAUCGGAUGAGCCUAGGUCGGAUGAGCUAGUUGGUGAGGUAAUGGCUCACCAAGGCUACGAUCCGUAACUGGUCUGAGAGGAUGAUCAGUCACACUGGAACUGAGACACGGUCCAGACUCCUACGGGAGGCAGCAGUGGGGAAUAUUGGACAAUGGGCGAAAGCCUGAUCCAGCCAUGCCGCGUGUGUGAAGAAGGUCUUCGGAUUGUAAAGCACUUUAAGUUGGGAGGAAGGGCUGUAGGCUAAUAUCCUGCAGUUUUGACGUUACCAACAGAAUAAGCACCGGCUAACUUCGUGCCAGCAGCCGCGGUAA